rnacentral:rRNA from 1 species
UACGGAGGAGGCAAGCGUUAUCCGGAAUUAUUGGGCGUAAAGCGUCCGCAGGUGGCACUUCAAGUCUGUCGUCAAAGACUGGGGCUUAACCCUGGAAAGGCCGUGGAAACCGACGAGCUAGAGUGCAGUAGGGGUAGAGGGAAUUCCCGGUGUAGCGGUGAAAUGCGUAGAGCUCGGGAAGAACAUCGGUGGCGAAAGCGCUCUACUGGACUGCAACUGACACUCAGGGACGAAAGCUAGGGGAGCGAAUGGG